rfam:Picea glauca, whole genome shotgun sequence.
UGUAUGCGAAGGGAGUUCCCUUCAGCCCAGCAAAGGAUGGUGAGCUGUUCGAAACAGCUGCCGACUCAUUCAUUCACCAACUCAUUCUUUAGACGCGGACGAGAAGACUGGGUUGAUGUUUGAAUGAUGCGGGAGCCGAUUUCGUCAGAGAAAUGUCUUUUCUUGGACUGAAGGGAGCUCCCACUGGUACUACA